GGAGUGUUAGCUCAGUCAGUACAGCGUCCGCCUCACAACCGGGAGGUCGUGGGUUCGAACCCCGGCCGCGUCA
rfam:Strongylocentrotus purpuratus Contig29017_fixed, whole genome shotgun sequence.